rnacentral:misc_RNA from 1 species
AAAAAAACAGGAUUUGUUCCUGAGGAUGCUGCUAUAGUUGGUAACACUUGUCUGUAUGGAGCUACUGGUGGUCAGGUAUUUGUGAGAGGCAAAACAGGUGAAAGAUUUGCAGUUAGAAACUCCCUUGGUCAAGCAGUGGUUGAGGGCACUGGAGAUCAUUGCUGCGAGUACAUGACUGGUGGCUGUGUAGUUGUACUUGGCAAAGUUGGGA